UACGUAGGUGACAAGCGUUGUCCGGAUUUACUGGGCGUAAAGAGCGCGCAGGCGGUCGUUCAAGUCGAGUGUGAAAGCCCCCGGCUCAACUGGGGAGGGUCACUCGAUACUGAUCGACUCGAAGGCAGGAGAGGGAAGUGGAAUUCCCGGUGUAGUGGUGAAAUGCGUAGAUAUCGGGAGGAACACCAGUGGCGAAGGCGGUUCUCUGGGCAUUACCUGACGCUGAGGAGCGAAAGUGUGGGGAGCGAACAGG
rnacentral:rRNA from 1 species